rnacentral:rRNA from 1 species
GACGAACGCUGGCGGCGUGCCUAAUACAUGCAAGUAGAACGCUGAAGCUUGGUGCUUGCACCGAGCGGAUGAGUUGCGAACGGGUGAGUAACGCGUAGGUAACCUGCCUGGUAGCGGGGGAUAACUAUUGGAAACGAUAGCUAAUACCGCAUAAGAGUAGAUGUUGCAUGACAUUUGCUUAAAAGGUGCAAUUGCAUCACUACCAGAUGGACCUGCGUUGUAUUAGCUAGUUGGUGAGGUAACGGCUCACCAAGGCAACGAUACAUAGCCGACCUGAGAGGGUGAUCGGCCACACUGGGACUGAGACACGGCCCAGAAUCCUACGGGAGGCAGCAGUAGGGAAUCUUCGGCAAUGGACGGAAGUCUGACCGAGCAACGCCGCGUGAGUGAAGAAGGUUGUCGGAUCGUAAAGCUCUGUUGUAAGAGAAGAACGAGUGUGAGAGUGGAAAGUUCACACUGUGACGGUAUCUUAACAGAAAGGGACGGCUAACUACGUG